rnacentral:rRNA from 1 species
AUUGAACGCUGGCGGCAGGCCUAACACAUGCAAGUCAAACGAGUGGCGGACGGGUGAGUAAUGUCUGGGAAACUGCCCGAUGGAGGGGGAUAACUACUGGAAACGGUAGCUAAUACCGCAUACCAUCGGAUGUGCCCAGAUGGGAUUAGCUAGUAGGUGGGGUAACGGCUCACCUAGGCGACGAUCCCUAGCUGGUCGGAGAGGAUGACCAUCCACACUGUACCUGAUCCACGUUCCAGAAUCCUGCGGGAUGCAGCAGUGAGGCAUGUUGCACAGUGGGCACAGUCCUGAUGGAGCAAUGGAGCGUGUAUGAAGUCGGGUUUCGGGUCGUUAAGUACGUUCAGCGUGGAGGCGUCACGCGCAGAGGAAGCUCCGGCUAACUCCGUGCCAGCCGCCGCGGUAAUAC